CACAAAUUAAUUUCUGGGCAUAGGCAGCGAUAUGGGAUACACAUCAUAAGGUCACCCCAAGACAUUGAUCCAGCACUAAAAUACACAAAUAAGCUAGUGGGCAAAACACUAUUCAUUUUCCAAGACUUCUGUUAUUCGAGGGAGUAGUCCCUGUCAUUCCUUACUAGUUGUGUGUAGUAUGCUCUUUUGUGGGCUUCCUGCAGUAUUUUUGCUGGAAGAAUAGUAAGAAUAAUCCUUUUGUAGUGCACCAAUGUCUGCUUUUUCUCUCAGCUCCUCUGUCUAAUCUCGGUAGCAGAUUUUUCCUGCAUAAAGGGAAGGUAUGUGCUAAGCUGACAUUUCAACACUCAAAGAACUGAUCAAGUUCAGUAAACUUAGAAGUGAGAGUUUCAUGCCAACAAGGGCAUCAUUUGAUGGCCACUGACACUUGUCAUUACACUGUUCUGCAUAAAGCUCUUGUGGAAUAUGACUUUUUUCCUUCUCCUUUAUUAGAAAGUCUUAGCUACAGUGUGACCCAAAAGGAUGUCCCACUAUAAGCCAAGUAAAUAUGGUGUCAUCCUUUCAUGGAGAUUACUUUUCAGGAAGAAAAAUGCAAAAGAUAAUGUGAAUAAAGCAGCUGUUUUUCAUCAGUUAUUUAUAUAGCCAAAGGAGUCUGAGUGCCAAGGACCCCAUGAGGCUGGAUUAUCUCCUUUUAGUGCUUUUCUCCCCUGCAUUGUGAAGUCCAGAGCCUGGAAGGGGAAAUAGUUUUUAGGUGGACUUCCAGCUUCAGGGGAAAGCAUCAUCUGGAGCCAGUGUAUUCCAGAGACCAAUAAACCAAGCAAAAUAUCUGUUGGUAUUACAGCAGGAUCCUCUGCAGGCCCCCAAGUCUGGCCUAGUGGUCAAAAGAUUAAAUAACUUUCCUGGCAUUAACCAGUCCUUAUUAUCUGACAACUCAGUAGCAUUUAAAUGUGGGAUGCCUCACUGCUUUUUAAAUGAGUUUUUCUUGGGAGAAGGUUGUAUGUAGGAAGUCAGAAAUAAUUAGGGCUGGGAGAAAGCUAUUUCAGAAGGAGUUAGACUUUCCCUUGUCCUUUUCUUCUCCAGACUAUUCAGAGAGUUGAAUUCUGCUUUUCCAUUAAAAAAGUUAGAAGAGGAUCUAUGGAGUAACAGAAAAGAGAAUCUGGUUUGCUGCCUGAAAAGCUCCACUCAGAAAAACCAUGGUGACUCUCUUGUAAAGGGGGUCAGAAGUGUGCUGUAUCUGCUACCAGGCUUAAGAGAAGAUAACAUCCAAUGUCAACAAGAGUAACCUAGUAGUAUGACAGCAGAAGUUUAUGUAAAAUUUGAGCAAUUAGUAAGAAAAGUUUAGAAAAACUGCAUGUGAAACAUGAGGUAAAAGAAGUAUUGGGCUAUAUACAACGUGUUUCUUCCUACUGCUGUUGCUAAGGUAACAAUCUACUCUGAUGUUUUUCCUUAAUUUCUGUUUGAGCAAACAUGUACUACUUUCUGUUUAGCAGUUCAGGAUCAGGCCUAGAGGAAGUAGCAGGUGAUGCUCCUUGAUCCCUAUGUGACUCCGUUUGAUAACAAGCAGAGUUAGUAUUCAGAGGCUGUUUGUCCCCCAUAAAAAAGUACUUACAGCAUUACAUACUCAAGCAACCUCACAGAGAACAAGUCUCAUUUGAAGAUCCAAUCUGAAUUUGAAGGACUGAGCAUUAAGGAGGCCUGAUCUGUGAAUGUUUCAACAGGUUCAGUGAAAAUUUAAAACUGCAGUACAUGUUGAGCUGUAUUUCACAAAAGAUUAAUGAAAAUAUAUUCUAGAGCAACAUUCACAGGGUAUGUCAUUAUUAGAUUAAGUUUCAAGAAACAGGUUAAGUAUAUGAGAACAGUGCAUCACAGUGUUCAUUUUGUAACAGAUACAGAAUUUUCCUUUCCUCCUACAAAAUCAAAUUCACAUUCAUCCCAAGUGGUUGAUUUCAUAAUGCAGAUUUUUAGGACACAGUACAACCUCUGUUGAUGUGCUGUUAGGUUCUUGUUAUAUUUAAGAAACAGUCAGUCACCACCUUUAGAAGUGAAGUGGGAAUUUAUUUAAGUCUAUUUAUUCGUCUAUACAAAUUUCAUUUCAUAUAAUAGUAGCAUACUUGAUUGGAUUAUUUAAAUUCUGCUUUACUUCUCAGAGAAGAAAACUCUUUCGUUUUUAUUAACUGCCUUGAGAAGUCAUAGUUACACAAUGUCUUGUGAAGAGUAUCAGUUGGUAUAUCAGUAUAUAGCUGGUUUUCAGUAAAAAGAAGGGAAGAAGGCGCUUCAGUUAUCUCCAGCACUACUGAGAGAGUAUUUUCAGUCAAAUGUUACAUGGUUAUUUUGUUUAAAGCCCUUAUUUGUAGUCUGCUACUUUUGAAUUCAGUUUUUAAAAUUGCAGGGGUCCUCUUCCUAGUGGAGGAGAGGAGAGUGAGUGUUUAUCCCUCCCACCCAAAGAGAGGACACUGACACUGCAGGUGCAACUGCUGUUCCCUGGUGGCUCUUUCUGCAGUGCCCCUCUCCCCGAAAGCCCAUUUCAGUCCAAGGACUUUCCUGGCUUCAGCUUUUGCCUUUCAAGAUGUGGAUGGGAAACUUCAGUCUGACUCAGGGUGCCCUCUUGUGAUACAAAUGGAACAAAUCCGGAGAUACCAGUGGGAUGGGAUGAGGAAAUCAGAGUGAAGGUUCCCAAGAAGAAAUGUGUUUAGAUUAUGACCAUAGCCAGCAACCAGCAACUGCUUUUUCUGCGUACUCUUCAACUUCUGCUGGCAUGGGGUGUGAAGCCAAUGGGAAUUAAGCAUCAUAAUGAAUUUUACUGGGGCAUAUUUCCUACACAACCUCAUUUCUCUGAGUUUUUUCCUUGGAAUAGGUACAUUUUAAUUGGAAUAACACUAAAAGCAAGCAGCAAUUCAGGUAGGGCACUGCAUCCUGUUUUGCACCACCUGGAAAGCUGGUUUCUUUGGAGUAAAGGAAAUGAGAUUCAGCACAGAUGUUAUCUUGCUUAAUGCCCGACUGAAAAGUGUUCAGUUAUUUUGAGAUGGGGGCAAAGUAAAAUGUGAAAUGAAAAAAAAAAAAAGCAUCAAGACUGAUCAGUUUCCCCCCAGUAAUUUUGCACUCAUUGAAAUUGCACUCAUUGAAAUGUUUCUCUUGGGAUUGGCCAUAUGUGGUAUAUAUACAUAAAUUUUCUCUUGUAAUUCCUUUUUUUUCCUGUAACUGCAGGAGAGAUGCAAACCCAAAAAGAGCUCUAGGUUUUUUUAAAGAAAAAAGCAGCAAGCCUGCCAUUAUCCACAUAUUUACUUUUUGGAAACAAAUGUUCAAGUACUUGGAGAAUGAACCCAAUGAGCAUAUUAAAAUGGUUUUGGAUAAAUUUAUUCUCCCUCUCUCCCCUUUCUCCCAACCUUGUCAUUGGUCAAAUGCAAAAACAUCAGUUCUAAGUGCUGUCUCUCACCAUGUUAAUCUGAAUCACAUUCUUGCUGCUUUCACAUUCAUGUAUCAGUGUGAUAUCACAUUGCUUCCACAGCCUCCUGUAAGCAGACGAGUCAUCUAGUUUACAAUUUGGAAUUUACUUGAUUGUAGAACAAAUUAUAUGAUGUAAACAAGCUCAUGGCAACAGGCUGGCUCCUGCCUUUCCAGCUACAAACAUCUGAAAACAAAAUGUCAUGAAAAUAAUCGUCUGAAGUUGAGGAAAUGACUUGUCUUGGAAACACAUUAAGUUUCAAAGAAACACUGAACAGAGAUAGAGACAGACCAGAGCCAGAGGUAGGGAGUAUCUUCUCAUUCUUGAGAUCAGUCUUUUGUGUCAAGUUACAUUUGCCUUGGACUCUUUGGGCAAAAGAGCUUUGUAUAGUGAGACUCACCCGAUGUCACACUUAGAAGCCAGGGUGUUGCACAUGUAGUUUAAGGCACUGGAAAGAACCAGGCACCUCCAGCACUUUGUUCAUCUCCUCUCAGGUGAAGUGAUCUCACUCUUUGCUGUGAUUCCUAGAAAAGGUAAGAUUAGGGUUGAUCCCACCUUUAGCAGAUGCAGUAUGGAGUAGUCCUUGACCCUACAUAUUUCUUUCAAUUUACAGAAUACUCUCCAUAUGUGUCCUACCUGCACAGUAUCUCAGUGGGAGAGCUUGAAUACCCUUCCAGAUGCGUCGUACACUGAAGGAUCUGUGUCUUGCAUAAGCAGUUCUUCAGCACAUAGUAAAACAAAGCGAUGUGUAACUCUUUCCCCCUUUUGGGCUGCACAGCCAAAGCAUACACAAAAUGUAUCUAAGAAGAAGAAAGACAGGAGGCUGCAGGCAGAUGGAGGUGGUCCAGGAAGGACCACACACAUUGUCUGGAAAUGCUCCUGCUGCCAACUGCUCCUGGCUGUCUCAGGGAGGAGUGAGGUGCCGUUAUCUGCAGUUGGCAGGACUGGCUGAAGCCAUUCUUUGCCCUGUGGAGCAUCUGUGUACCAGAUAUUGCUUGAGAGGUGUCACUUGCACUGCUGGAAAAGCCUCCUUUCCAGCUCUGAGCACACUUGCAUUGCAGGAGUGACUUGCAAUCUGUUGGGCACAGUCUGCCCUUUCUUCUAAACACCCAGGUGCAGCAAGUCCUGAGGCUUGAUGAGGGGAGAAAAUGAGUGGCAAGGUAGAAGGGGAACAAAACUGAAAGUAAAUCUCUGCUGCAUAUCAGAACUUGUUUUUCUUAUCACUAGGCCACAGCGUAAGAAAAAAAAGACCCUGCACCCCUCAUUUUUUUGGCUUCCCUUGUUCAGCUGCCAUCACCAGCUCGACCACCAGAUGUCUGCACCCAACAGAAAACUGAAAUGCAGCACUGAGAUGAGCAGCUGGAAAAAGAAAUGAAAAGAGACCAAAGUGUCAGGGAGGGAAAGUCCAAAGGGAGCUGAAAGGGUUUAUUUCCAGGCCUAGACACCCUCGAGGCAGGGAUGAUCCUCAGGCCCUCCUGGUGAGCUUUCGUUCCACAGUCCAGGACUAUAUUCCCACCACCAGUGAUGCUGAACUGAGAUGGAUCUCUUUGGAGAGUGGGCAGGAAAAGGAAGUGCUCAGAAGCACUGCUGUGGCUAUUUAACCUGGCUGCUCAAACUUCCAACUUGACAGAGAGUCCCACAGGAGAAUUUUUCAAUGUAAAGAUGAGACCUGGGUCAAAACCAGAAAAUGUUUGCAUGCAAAAAGUAACCAAAAAAACAAGAUGCUGUGAAAUGUGAUAGCUGAACUAGAAAAAAAUUAGUGUCUUUUCAAGUGUGCUAGGUCUCAAUUGAAUCCUAAUACCAGAGUAAAAAAACUACUGUAUUUCUUUCCAUUUAAAGCCUUAUGAGUUUGCAUAAUUUUUGGUGUAAUGGGUAUCCACAAUUUGUAUUCCUUUUUGCUUUUGAGAAGUUCUUCAUCUGUGGUGUGGGAGGACAGCAAGUGAGAGCUGUUCUAGACUCAGGAUGUAGAAGGCCAGCAUAAAGGGCGCUACCAGUACUGUACACAUUCACAGUCCAUACCUGAGCUGACCUUGGGAUGAUGCUCAGUGUCUUGUGAAGAUGGGCAAUGAGUAGUUCUGUGGUUUGGUGCUUGCUCUCAAUGAAAUGAAAAAGAAGAAGACAGCAAAGGUGGCAAAAUUAUCUGUGCCAGAAGCUCUGAGGCAUUUCUCUUCUUUCCAGGAUCUUUCACUGCUCCACUGUAUUCAUCCUUUGUCAAACGGAGUGAGAGUGGUGGAACUGAGGGUUUGGGGCAAUUGAAGUGCCAGAUGUGCUUUUGCUAUGCUUUCCUUUUCAGGUGUUAGAGUAUCUUGGCAAGAGGAAGUUAUGGCCAAGUGGAGGGCUGGUGAGUGAACUGACACUGAAUAAGGCAGUGUUCAACGGCUUAUUUAUUAUUUGGGGAGAAGAUGGCAAAUAAAUAUCCAUUAUUUCAUGUAA